CUGCUCUGUUAGCUCAUUCAGAUUCCGUUCCACGUUGCAGGGAGUAUUUUGUUGCCUUUAGUCCCUCAUUAGAUUAGACACAGCUGCGGUAGCCUCUUCUGUUUCCUAUUUCCUUUGGCAAGAGCCCUAGAAGCGCCCACAUUCGCAGAGAGCCGAAGAAUCGAUAACAGAUGACGACAAGAGGAGAAACUACGGAGGGGUGUAUGUUGGCCUACCAUCUGAAGCUGUCAAUAUAGUCUCCAACCAAACAAAGACUGUACGAAAAAAUUAGAAGAAAAUAGUAUCAUGACUCAUGACCAAGAGCACCCUUAUCAAGAUCUGGAAAGAAUUUCUUCCCAUGGGACAUUGGAACGGGCACAGACAUUCUAAGAAAUUCUAAACAUUCUCCUGUUCUCCUGGCCACCCACCUUCCCCAAUAGUCUUAAGUCUAGAGUCUAGUUAAAACCGUGAGCACGUGUUGGCUGUUGUCCUAGGUAGGAAUUGGUCCAACAAUACACUCGGACGUGGAACUUUCUGUGGUACAUCUGUAACAGAUGAGCUGAUGCUGUUUGGGUCUGCUGGGCUCCGGCUAUUGUGGGCCCCCCACCACCUAUGUCCUGGCCAUGUGCCUGGCUCAUGAAGAUCAUGUCUUUUCACUGAUACUUUUUGAUAGUUUUAUAUGAUGAAA